GCCGCCAUCUCCCCACCUCCCCAAUUCUUCAACCUCCAGAUCUAUUCCAAUCUCCGCCGGCAGCAGCGCACCCCGUGCACCCCUCAUCCCGCCAUCCCGCGCGAAAGAAGCCACACCCACAUGCCCUGCUCUCAGGCGCGAGCUCCUAUCUCCGCUGGCGACUUCCCAUUCUCCUCCGUCGGCAACUUCGCCAGUUGGAUACCGCCGGCGUCCGUCCUCGCCGUCGCCAAGCCGCGCUCCUCCUGGCGUCGUCCGCACCAUCACCAAGCAUCCACGCCAGUGUCAUCCUCCACCAGGAGCUCUGCCGCAUUUUCCGUGGCUACACCGUCCGCAAGCAGCGGUCGGCUCCAUCCAAUAUCUUCAGGCCUCCACCUCGUCAAGUAGGUAAAAAAACAAUCUAAGCCAGCCCCUCCGAACACAGACACAAAACAUUGCUAGUCCAACACAACCAUGAAAUAUUGGUACUGUACAUCUCUUACAAUGUCAUGAUAGUCUAAAAGGUUAUGUUCAUCUAAACUUUUCUUUGUUAUCUACCUUUUUCAGGUUAGAGGAUUCAGAAAAGGAGUGCAUUGCACGAGCCAGGAGCAACUACAGAUGAAUAAUCUUCAAAUGAACAAAUAUUAUAGAUGAUGUAUAGAUUUUAGCUUCAAAGGAGUACUUAGUUCUACUUUGUAGGGUUUUCGUAAUUAUUUGUAUCUUCCGUAUGAAUAUCUCAUUUGUGAGCUCCACACUUUCAGUAGAGGUAUUUGUUCCUAUUAAUUUAUCCACUUUAUGUUAA